AGAGUCAAAGUUUAAGAUGAGAGGAGAGAGGCACGUGGGAGAAAAGUGAUUGGAACUGAGAAAUAAAAAUAAUGAAGUUCUAGAAGUGAUGAAGUCACAUGGUGAUAAAACAUCGAGUAAACAAGCAGGCGAACAAAACACGUCACACUACGCCAAUCAAAACAAGUGGUGUGUGGGUUCUAUGAUUAUAUCCUUCAACUUUCAAGGCCAUCGCAGCAAUUAUAAAAAAUUAAAAAUCAAAUUGUGGUUCUACUGACAAGGAGCGCUAUUCGUUCAAGUAUGUCGGCGAUAGUGUGGGACUUGUCUGUCAUUAUAAAUUGAAUGGUCCGAAAGAGAUAGGCACAAGGCUGUGGCUUGUGAGAUGGCAAAGACGAGGAGUUUGAAUGUGCCGCCCGUCUGCCUCUGGUCAUCUCCGAUCCGGGUGAGAGAAACGCGUACCGGGUUCAGCCUGUGAUUUGCGGAUCGUUCCACACCACCACGAUACGGGUCGCUCUCACCUGGAUCGGGUCUGCCCACUCCUUUCCUUCUCGGAUCUUCCCUCUAAUUUGGUUUCAACAUGUUUUUCCUCCUUUUGCUUAUUUCAUCCGCUGUCAUGUGAAGGCUUCCUAGCUAAAUUAAUUUAUGGAUGGUUUACAUCUUUUCCGAUUAUAAAAGGAAGCAACGACACUGCAUUUUUUCUGCAUCGAUAAAGAACAACCAUGAAUUUUUAAUUGAUUUUUUAAGUGUGACCAACAUGUAUGUAUAUCAAAUACUUGCAGUUUGUAAUUUCUUAAUAAAUUGUUGUUAAUGUGAUGUGAAUGGAUCCUUAUGCCUUUAUCUAUACAUGUGAUUCUUGAAUUUGGCGUUUAAUUGGUUUAAAUAGACGAAUGAAGGCUUACACGUAUAUCUUUCAAGGCUACUGGUAUGUUUGGUUUACCUUUCAACUAAUGUUGAGGGCAGCCCCAGCCUCGGUUGAGCCCAGUGUCCCAUCUAAAAUCUUGUUUGGGAGGGGAAAAAAAUAAGUCGAACGAGCGGUAUGACAAAACAAGCGUUAAUAAUGAAGCUAGGAAAAGGAGCUUAUUGACGCGCGUUGCAAAAUGACUUUGAUCUCAGAUUCUCUCUCCUCCUUAUCUCCCUUGAAUUACCUGAAACUACAAGCUGUCCCAAAAUGGACUCCUGCUCUCAGGUCCAAAUCUUCGACAUUCUCACCGCCAACUUCGUCUUCCUAGUAUCACUGAAACUUGCCGAUCAGAUAAUCAGAUCCAAAUCUGCUAUGAAGAUCCCCAUCUCGUGCCCUUGCGUUGAUGGAAUCCGAAGAGAUCGAUGUCCACAAUCUACACAAUGCAGGCAUCGGACGCAUUGCAGACCAAAUCAUUUGACGAAUGGAGCGACGUUGGUGAUAGCGUUGCUGUUUACGUGCUUCAACAAUGUGAGAAAUGGAAAAUUAUAGAUGAAAGUGUAGAUGACCACGGAUAAGAUAUUGGAGAGGCAUUUUUGUCAAAUCUAUUUAGAUUGUUAAGAUAGAUUUAUUAUGUUUGUGAUAUAAUUAGACAUCAAAUUGUAGUUCAUACUAAUUCAAUAUUUUGUAAUCUAUAAACUUCUCUUGAUUUCUCAUAAAUGAAUAUUUUGAAUUUUAUUAUUUAA